UGCGCAACGCAUGGCGCAGGACGAUGGUGCGGAACUUGACCCCCUUCAGCCGCGCUGUGCGGAUGUACUGCGCGGUCAUCACCUCGGCCAUGCUGGCCCGCGUCAUCCGCGCGAUAUAACCCAUGCCGUAAAGGGCGAUGGUCACAACGGGCAGGGUGAAAUUCUCGAAUGUCACGCCG
rnacentral:ncRNA from 1 species